UACGUAGGGGGCAAGCGUUGUCCGGAAUCAUUGGGCGUAAAGAGCGUGUAGGCGGUUCGGUAAGUCGGCUGUGAAAGUCCAGGGCUCAACCCUGGGAUGCCGGUCGAUACUGCCGAACUAGAGUUCGGAAGAGGCGAGUGGAAUUCCCGGUGUAGCGGUGAAAUGCGCAGAUAUCGGGAGGAACACCUAUGGCGAAGGCAGCUCGCUGGGACGGUACUGACGCUGAGACGCGAAAGCGUGGGGAGCAAACAGG
rnacentral:rRNA from 1 species